AAGUCGUAACAAGGUUUCCGUAGGUGAACCUGCGGAAGGAUCAUUAUAGUAUAUCUAUAUCUAGGAUGGGGGUGCUCUCGGGCCCCCCCCACCGCCAAAACCUUAGUAAAUUACUAAACUUUAAUCAGUUUAGCCUUGGUGAUGGCUUAACUGCCCUGUGGAUAAAAACUAAAUUCUUUAAUAAACUGCCUGAAUUUAAUGUAAUGUCUGAAUUAAUAUUAAAUAUUAAAA
rnacentral:misc_RNA from 1 species